ACUUGCUUUUGUUAAAUGUUAACCGGUUUUUUUCUGCCCAGCUCUCCAGCCUAUGUCUUUGAGAGUCCUCUGGGUAUCACUUCAUUUUAUUAAAGUUUUCAGAACAAGUUCACCCUUGGUUUAAGUCAGCUAAAAUCAGCAGCACUGCACCAGAGAGAACUUGGCUCAGUAGAAUUAAGCAAAAGGUAUUAUUUAGUCCAUAUUGUAUGUGGUACUGCAGAAAGCUUUUCAGUUUUUCAACUAUGUUUAAAUCUUGCUUGGUAAACAUCUUUGUCUUUUCAUUCUGUCAUAAAUGUAGGCUUUUUUUUUUUUUUGUGCUGAUUAAUUAAACUAAAUUCCACCUAUUGCUUAAACUAUCCAUAACAUGAAUAGUUAGUAAUGCUAACAGCCCAAGAUAUUUACUUGGCAUUUUAUAUCUCAGAAUCAACCAAGGAAUAUGUGAUACAAGAUUUAAGAAGAUUGCUUACUCCUAGUUUUAUUUGAUCUCAAAAAAAGUCCAAAGCUUCAACUGACUGAUAAAUCAGAAGGUUUUCUAUUGGUAAUUAAUAUUUGUGCCUUUGUUCAGAUUUUCCCAGGUAUUUUCCAUUUACCAAGUUUUGGUUUGCCUUGUGGAAUAAUCUGAGUGCAGAACUGCAGUUACCACAGAACAAGACUUCCCAAAUCUGUGUAGUGCAGAUAUCAGGUCCUGAUCACAAAUUGUUUUAAGCUCUGGAUUUUCUCUGAGUCCUCAUGACCACUCAGUAAUUUAAUCAGGCUAUUUACAGAGGCAGGGAAAUCCUCAUACCCAAUUUUUAAUGACCUUAAAUCUUUCCGUGUAAAGCAUCGCUUUGAAGAACAGUUUCCUACGAUCUCUUGUAUCUCACAGGAUCAGCAGGUGAAGUAAGAAGAAUGUAUCUGAUGUAUACCAUCAAAAUCAUGAAAACACAAAGCUCCCCCUGUCAUGAUGCAGUUCUAUAAAAGAGGCAUUGUUUGAGCUCAGGGCUGGAAAUGUUCAUCUUCACAAUAUGAAAUCUAUUUUGCAUUUGCCAAGUUGCCCUAACACCCUGGAGAAAUAUAGAUUUACUCCUGCAAAGCAAGCCUUCUAAUAAUAGUAUAACCAGCAGUGGAUUUUCAGCUGUAACAAAUCAUCUUACCUUCUUCCAUUUAAGUGAAGUUAUGCACCUUUAGAGUACAGCAAUGCACCUGCGUCACCAUCCCUGACACCAGUCUGUCUCACCUGUUCCCUCAUUUCUCCUGUGAGUUUCUGAACUGUCUCAAUGUUCUUUCCCAUAAGACCCCAAUGUAUCAUGUUUCCACUGAUGAUCCUUUGGUAGCAUCCAGCCUUCCUGUCCAACCUCAGAAGCAUUGCAUCAGUACCUUUAAUAGUCACAGAAUACAGGCUGCCUACUCUCCAGCAUGGGUGAGGAUCAAACAGGUCACACACAAGCCUGGCUUAUGGUAGGUGCUGCUGCAACCCAGAAGCAACCUAUUGCUCCUGAUGUAAGGCAGCAGGUAUGAUUUUGUGAAAUGCCUUUGAGAGUAAACUGUCUCUGCUGCUGGCAAACUGUUGGUGAUUUUGUAUCUAAGGUACAAUGUUUUCAAAGGACACCUUUAUGUAAGGUCAGUGCCUUAACAUGUUUAUCACAGGAAUAGGAUGGACCCUUGGAUUCAGAAAUGUUCCAACCUGGGACUUGGUUUUAAUCAAUGAAGGAAGCCUGCUAUAAAUUAUAGAAUGAAUUUGUUUGGAAGGAACUUCAAAGAUCAUCUAGCUCCAACCCCUUUGCUGUGGGCAGGGCUGUCAGCCUCUAGGUCAAACUGAGUAGGAAACCUUCAAACCUGGCCUCCUUGAGUACCUCAAAAGAUGGGAUAUCCGCAGCUCUUCUGGGCACGCUGUUCCAGUGCAUCUCUGACAAAGACACAGGUAAAACAUAAAAUUUGGGAAGCAGUUGCAGUAUUUGGAAUUGAAUUCAACAAGAGUAAGAAAUAACUACAAAUAGAGAUGCUGCUUUUGCUUUCCAGAGCAUGCUAAUGUGUGUAAUCUCAAAGACGGACAAGGAGAUGAGGAAGGAAGAGAAUAUAGUAGACUGUCAAAAUGCGAGUAUUAAUAAUGUUCACUACAUGAAGAGCAGGGGGAAUGACAAACAAUAUUCAUUCAUUAUUUGGAUUCUUUAAAAACACUGAAUUUGUACAACCUGCUACUAAUAAUUCUUAAGUGAUUCUUUAACGUUUCAUUAGUAACACAACAGUGAUUAACCUUUUAUUGACCAGAAACUGGUAUUUGAACAAAAUGGGCUCUGACUAUGAUCAGGUAUCUUUUCCCGUAAGACAGUAGCUGGGCCAAAAUACAGAUUUUUGGGGACUUUAAAAUAUUAUCUAAUCCUAAUAUUUUUGUAAAAUCAGAACAAACAGAUAGUAAUAAUUCUACAUCUACUCUAAAAAUAAAGUAACUACCAAAUUCAUUUGUGACGAAAGGAGAAAAUAUUGGACAUGAUAUAUACAAUAACGUCAGAUAAGCAAAACAGUUAACAAAUUGUGUUCCUCAUGAGGUUUUCUUUGUUGUUCUCUUGUUAAAUGUUUAAAUGCUUGCAUCUAUCUAAACAUUCAUGUUUCUCAUUUUAGUACUCCCACAAAAAGUUAUUCCUUCUGAUGCUCCCUAAGGGCAGGUGUAGCAAAAAUGCUAAGUCACAGACUGAAACAGUGAUGAUUGAGCACCUGGUGGGAAGGCAGGGCCAACCCACCCUUCCCAGACCUCAUUUAAGGGCUGGCAGUGGAGGUGAGGGGUAUCUUUCUGCAGAUCCCUGCUUCCCAGAGGCCUUUCAAAAGACACUGUGGAAUUCUGUUUAAGCUCCCAUUGCAUUCAAUAAAAGAGAGGAUUUCUGACAGCGAUAUUUUUGACUGGUUGAUGUCAGCAUAGGAAGGAAGGAUUGAAGGCCAAGGAUGUGCCUUGAAGAAGAAAGGAUUCUGCUGCCUCAGCUGAUCUACAGGGCUGUUGGGUGCUAAAUGCCACAAACAGGCUGGAUUCCUUCAACACAGAUUCCUGCAUAACAUCAGGCAGCUCUUGUAUGUCUAUUUCCAGUGACUGUUCCAAAUCAUUGACUCUUUAAAACUUUCUCUGUUUCCAAAUGACUUUAAUUAUUCUAAUUUCACUUCCUUUCAGCAUUUUCUGUGAAGUUUUCUUCUAUAUCUUCAUAUCCUUUCUUCUACAUAAGCACAUCCCUAUUUGCUUUUCUGCAUCUCUUUUCUUGCCUCUUUCUCUUGUUUCCUCUUUGACGUCUUUCCCACUUUCCUGUUUUCUGUCCUAUUACAUUUGAAGACAUGGAACUUUGGAUAGCUUAUUUGAGUGGCCACUUUCUAGAGGAAAGAAGAUAAAAUAAGAUGCAUAACUAAACAGCAGUGACCUCGUUCAGACUAUGAAAUCCCAUAAUACUGGAAUUACUUUCUCUUUUGACACCAAGAGCCAAAGAACCAAAUCAUUUCAAGAACUACCUUCCCACAUAAGUGAUGCAUGUCUACAUUCAUCUCUUUUGUGAGAGUCAUGUUAGAAAGUGAUUGUUUGGUUAACAUUAAAAUAAUGCAUGAAACAUUUGAUGUGCUUAUACAUUUAACAGUUUAUGGUAGUAAUACAAGACAUUGGUAAUAAAAUAGCAUGCCACUUUGAUGGAAAUAAUAAUACAUACUGCAACAGAGAGCAGUCCAUAGAGAAGCUACAUUUCAUCAUUAGCUGUUAAGAUCAUUCCUGCCCUGGCUGGCAACACAGUGACUAUUCUUUUCACAUGCUGUCAGUAAUGUUUUACAUGACCUAAGCUUUGUACACAACCAUCCAAAUUUGUCUACACCAAAAGCAUCAGACUGCAAAUCAGAGGCUUGUGUAUGAACCUCCCCAUCGUCCUCAUAGCAGCUCACAUCAACAUGCAUGAAAGGGCAAAGGGGAUGGUUGCAGCCCUGGUUAGCCAGUGGUUGCCAGAAACACCAGAGGCAGGUUGAGACUGGUGUCCCAGCUGUCCCUGUCCCAGACUUCGGGGUCUGCAGCUUUGAAACAUGUCUACAUCUGAGUAGAAGGUGCUCUACACCUCUCCCACAGUCAGGAUCACUGAGUUUAGGUCCACAUCUGCCCUAAACUGCACAAAAUUCUGAGGACAUUAACUGCGAUUACAUACACACAAAAGCAAGGUCAUAAAAACAUAGUUUACAUUUAAACAUCUCUCAACUUCUUUGGCAACUGAAGAAGCUGUCCUGGAAGAAGACAUCAAACAGUCCCUACAGGCCACAGCUGCAGGACAGCCAGGUUGCUGCACUAAGGACAGGAGGAUUGCAGGGGUUGAAAUAGUUUCAACAAAUCUGAAAAAAAGUCAAGGGAACCUUUGCUGUUGCAGAGAAAGUAACUAUUGUAAUAAUAGUAGCUUAAAAAGGAAGCCUAAAUGAAUUCCAAGAACAGCUUUGUGGUAACCUAUAGAAAAAAAAAUCAUACUGUGAAAAAACUGAUGGAGAAACCUUCAAAUAAAAAUGUUUGAGCUGGGAACUGACAUAAAUAGCUUGCUCUUAAUUCUUUUGCUUUCCUUUUUGCUUGUUUAUUUGCUUGUUUGCUGAGUGAACAACCAGCUCUUAAGAUCCACCAAUGAAAAUUUUCCCAACCCAUCUUAGAAAUCACACAAUAAACAAACAGUAGAGUGGUUGUAAAUGGCUCAGUGUGUGGAUGGAGAUCAGUGACAAGUGGUGACCCCCAUGGGUCAGUGCUGGGACCAAUACUCUUUAAUAUCUUCAUCAAUGACAUUGACAGUGGGGUUGAGUGCACUUUCAGUGAGUUUGCUGAUGACACCAAGCUGUGGGGUGCAGUGAACACACCAGAGGAACAGUAUGCCAUCCAGAGGGACCUAGACAGGCUGACCAGUGGGAUUAGAUGAACUUCAUGAAGUUCAACAAAUCGAAAUGCAAGAUCUUACAUCUGAAUUGAGGCAACCCUCAUUACCAAUACAAACUGGGGGAUGAAAGGAUUGAGCACAGCCCUGCCAGAAAAAGACUUGGGUGUGCUGGUGGAUGGUAAGCCAGACAUGAGCCAGCAGUGUGCCCUGGCAGCCCAGAAAGUCAACUGUAUCCUGGGCUGGAUCAAUAGAAGCAUGGGCAGCAGGU